ensembl:lncRNA
GGGGACCGGGAGGGGGUUUGGGGGGCACCGGGAGCUGUCGGGGAGAUGGCAGAACGAGUGCGGCUGCUGCGGUGCUGGGGGGGACUGCGGGGUACUGGGAGAUAAUGGGGGGUACUGGGAGAUAAUGGGGGGUACUGCGGGGUACUGGGGGGUACUGGGGUGGGAUACUGGGGAGUACUGGGGGUACUGGGAGAUAAUGGGGGAUACUGGGGGAUAAUGGGGGAUACUGGGGGGUACUGGGGGAUACUGGGAGAUAAUGAGGGAUACUGGGGGAUACUGGGGGGUACUGGGAGAUAAUGAGGGAAACUGGGGGAUACUGGGAGAUAUUGGGGGAUAGUGGGGGAUACUGGAAGAUAUUGGAGGAUACUGGGAGAUAUGGGGGUGGGAUACUGGGGGGUACUGGGCAGGAUAUGGGGGAUCACUUGGGGACCGCCUGCCCCACACUUAUGGGGUUCACCGUGAGCCCACUGGGGUCAAUUGGAGAUCUUCUGCCCCACAUCUGUGGGGUUCCAUGUGGGCUCAUAGGGGUCACCUGGGGACCUUCUGCCCCACACUUAUGGGGAUUGCUGUGGGUU